AUUGAACGCUGGCGGCAUGCCUUACACAUGCAAGUCGAACGGAUCCUUCGGGAUUAGUGGCGGACGGGUGAGGAACACGUGGGAACGUGCCUUUUGGUUCGGAACAACUCAGGGAAACUUGAGCUAAUACCGGAUAAGCCCUUCGGGGAAGGAUUAUCGCCAAUUGAGCGGCCCGCCGUCUGAUUAGCUAGUUGGUGGGGUAAAGGACCUACCAAGGCUACGAUCAGUAGCUGGUCUGAGAGGAUGAUCAGCCACAUUGGGACUGAGACACGGCCCAAACUCCUACGGGAGGC
rnacentral:rRNA from 1 species